rnacentral:tRNA from 1 species
UGCGGGAUGGAGCAGUCUGGUAGCUCGUCGGGCUCAUAACCCGAAGGUCGUAGGUUCAAAUCCUACUCCCGCUU